AUUGAACGCUGGCGGCAGGCCUAACACAUGCAAGUCGAACGGUAACAGGAAGCAGCUUGCUGCUUUGCUGACGAGUGGCGGACGGGUGAGUAAUGUCUGGGAAACUGCCCGAUGGAGGGGGAUAACUACUGGAAACGGUAGCUAAUACCGCAUAACGUCGCAAGACCAAAGAGGGGGACCUUAGGGCCUCUUGCCAUCGGAUGUGCCCAGAUGGGAUUAGCUAGUAGGUGGGGUAACGGCUCACCUAGGCGACGAUCCCUAGCUGGUCUGAGAGGAUGACACGCCACACUGGAACGGGAACACGGCCCAGACUCCUGCGGGGGGCAGAGGUGGGGAAUAUUGCACAAUGGGGGAAGGCGUGAUGCAGCCAUGCCGGGUGUAGGAAGAGGGCCUUGGGUUUGUGAAGUUCUUUAAGGGGGGGGGAAGGAAGAAAAUUAAAUACCUUCGCUCAUUGAGGUUCCCCAAAAAAAAAACCCCGGCUAACCCCGUC
rnacentral:rRNA from 1 species